rnacentral:rRNA from 1 species
UAAGGAAUAUUGGUCAAUGGAGGGAACUCUGAACCAGCCAUGCCGCGUGAAGGAUGACGGCCCUCUGGGUUGUAAACUUCUUUUGGAUGGGGCGAAAAAACGGGAUUUAUCCUGGACUGACGGUACCAUCAGAAUAAGCACCGGCUAACUCCGUGCCAGCAGCCGCGGUAAUACGGAGGGUGCAAGCGUUAUCCGGAAUCACUGGGUUUAAAGGGUGCGUAGGCGGUUGUAUAAGUCAGGGGUGAAAGGAUGCAGCUUAACUGUAUAAUUGCCUUUGAUACUGUAUGACUUGAAUAAGGUUGAGGUUGGCGGAAUGUGACAUGUAGCGGUGAAAUGCUUAGAUAUGUCAUGGAACACCGAUUGCGAAGGCAGCUGACUGGGCCUUUAUGACGCUGAGGCA